GGGGGUGCGUUGAACACCCUGGUGUGUGCGCAAGCGCUGUGCAUUUUUAUUAUCAUGGGUUUACAGACACGUCUCUGCUGAUUGGGUAUCACCUGUGACACAGCCAAUAAACGAGAGAAGACAC